rnacentral:rRNA from 1 species
GCCUGUCCCAGUUCGGACUGGAGUCUGCAACCCGACUCCACGAAGUUGGAUUCGCUAGUAAUCGCGCAUCAGCCAUGGCGCGGUGAAUACGUUCCCGGGCCUUGUACACACCGCCCGUCAAGCCAUGGGAGCCGGGGGCGCCUGAAGUCCGGGACCGCGAGGACCGGCCUAGGGCGAAACUGGUAACUGGGGCUAAGUCGUAACAAGGUAGC